GAUGAACGCUGGCGGCGUGCCUAAUACAUGCAAGUCGAGCGAACAGACGCGGAGCUUGCUCCUCUGACGUUAGCGGCGGACGGGUGAGUCACACGUGGAUACCCUCCCUAUAUGACUGGGAUAACUUCGGGACACCGGCGCUAAUCCCGGAUAAUCUCUUGCACCGCAUGGUUCAUUAGUGAAAGACGGCUUUGCUGUCACUUAUCGCUGGAUCCGCGCCGCAUUAGCUAGUUGGUACGGUCACGGCUUACCACGGCAACGAUGCGUAGCCGACCUGAGGGAGGGAUCGGCCACACUGGAGCUGGAACAGGGUCCAGGGUCCUGCGGGAGGCAGCAGAAUGGAAUCUGCCGCAAUAGGCGAGAGCCUGACGGAACAGCGCCGCGUGAGUGAUAAAGGUGUUCGGAGCGGAAAACUCUGUUAUGAGGGAAAAACAAAUGUGGAAGGAACUAUGCACGGCGUGACGGUACCGAAUCAGAAAGCCACGGCUAACUACGUG
rnacentral:rRNA from 1 species